ACCCCUGCACUGUGGAGGUUGAUGGUGUUGUCACUUACUGAUGUUUUUGGGGUUUUCUUCACAGCUCUCGCAGUAUUUCUGUCAUCAACUGCUGUUGUUUUCCUUGGCCGACCUGUUUGAUGCCUUUUCCUUAGCAUGCCAG